CUGUUUGUUUGUGUUAGCUUCUGGUAGUUGUUGGUUUAGUCUUUGGAAUUGCUGGGUCAUGGUUUUGCUCUUUGUUAUAUCUAGAGAGCUCCGGGGAUUGGUCGUGUUGGCUAGUUGUGGAUAGCUUUCGCAUUAUCUCUUCUUUGUUCUUUGUUCGUUGAAUCUUCUAAGUGUGUCUCCUUCCACCGCCUCUAGUUUAGAUUAAUAAGUAGGUUUUCUCUCGUGGUCUGUUCCUUUUCUGUUCUUGUAAGGCUAACCUCUUGUGAGGAUGCAAAGUUCUAGAUUUAGACUUGUUCGUUAGAAGACUAGGUGGUUAGGUAUUAGAUUCGCGGCGUUUUCAUAUGUUUGGGAUAAUCGUUUUUAGUUGGGAUAUGUCUUCGCGGUUUCCACUAUCCCUGGUCCUUCUCCAUUUGCGGUGGUAGGUCCUCUAGUUUGCGACCUUUGAGCUCUUAUUUCCGCGGUUUCUGUUCUCCUCCGACUUUUUCGAUGAUUUCGAGAGUUUCACUUCUUGACUUUAGUAUAUUUUCUUAUGUUUCCCGUGUAUCGGGCUUUAGCUUCCGGGGAUUUCUUUGUUUUCCGCCGGUAUUGUAUUUCGAAAACGCAUCCCAAAAACGUAUUCCACCCAUGUAUUCCACUCUUGUAUUAUAUAAUGAAAAUCUUUCAGUGAAAAAAAAAAAAAAAAA
rnacentral:lncRNA from 1 species